UCGGAAAACCUGGUUAUAAAUAACUGACGUAUUUUCUGAAAAUGUUAUAUGGGAUUUACGUGACAUUUUCUGAAAAUGGUUAUGAACGGUUGUUAAGAUACAUGUAAACAAAUAUAACGUAUUUCACAACACAAACGUAAUUGAUUAACACCAAAACCUUGCUAGCAUAAAAAAGUUUCAUGGAAGUAAAUAACUUUAUACUGCUAACUUAUACCUACAACAACAGAACAGAAAGGAGUUUUAAAGGACUAUAAUGAGUAUUCAAGAGUUUUACCGAGAUAUCGAUGGUCUGACUGUAUAUUUGAGAGAAAAAUACCCCAAUGACCACGAAAUACAGAAAUGGAAUAAUUCAUAUUGCAAACAAUACGUCUGGGAACCAAACGAAUUACAAAAACUUUUUGAAGACAACGAACAUUUAAAACAAGAUAUAAUAAAAUUACAUCAAUUGACAUCGAAAAAACAACACGCACUACAAGAGAAACCAGAUACAGUGAAGUAAAAAAGAAAUUGAAAUCACUCAACCGUUUGAGUAUGCCAUAGGCAUAUGCAUGAUUGAAUAUCAUAAUACUUUUAUGUUGUGAGAAUCACUCAACCGUUUGAGUAUGCCAUAGGCAUAUGCAUGAUUGAACAUACGCUUUUUAGAGUAGUAUGGAAUAUAAUGUUUAUGGUACAUUUUUGUUAGUAGUAAAGAAUAUUAUGUUCUUGAUACAUUUUAACUCAUUUUAUUAAAAUAAUUUAUCAUUGUUUGUUCAUUAUGUAUUACAUUGUUUACUCUCAGUGUUUUAUACAAUAAAUCAUAAAUGUUUAUACCAUUUUGUAACAUUUUUAUGAAAAAUAAACAAUAAUAUCCACAGAG